rnacentral:rRNA from 1 species
AAGUGGAGCAAUCCAUGAGUAAAGUGGCGCACGGGUGAGUAACACGUGACUAACCUACCCUGGAGUGGGGGAUAACUGAGGGAAACCUUAGCUAAUACCGCAUAAUACCUACGGGUCAAAGGAGCAAUUCGCUUCAGGAGGGGGUCGCGGCCGAUUAGUUAGUUGGCGGGGUAAUGGCCCACCAAGACAGUGAUCGGUAUCCGGCCUGAGAGGGCGCACGGACACACUGGAACUGAAACACGGUCCAGACUCCUACGGGAGGCAGCAGUGGGGAAUUUUGCGCAAUGGGGGAAACCCUGACGCAGCAACGCCGCGUGGAGGAUGAAGUCCUUCGGG